UUCUCCAACUGAGGUCUCGUAACCCUGCGGCAAUGAGCUGAUAAAGUUGUAGUAAUUGAAGUCCACAAACCUGAAAACCAACAACAACAAAAAAAAAACUGAGACCCCAGCGUGUUAAAUGCGGCCGCGCAGACAAAAAUAAAGCACAAACAGCUACAGCUACAGCUACAGCUACCUCAGCAGUAGCAACAACAAAUGACCACGGAUACUGCAAAAA